CAGAAGUGGAGAUCCCUCUGUACAUUGUUUUCAACCAUUUUCCCAGGAAUGAACAAAUAUUAAAUCCAAACAGUGUAGUAUGAUGUUUAAUGUACACCGUAUACACGUUCAGUGAAUGUUUAUUGUAAGCAUAUGUAUGUUACAUGACAAACAAGGGUCAGACAUCGAUUUGGUUAGGUGUGGUUUGUCGCCGCCAUGGCUUGCUUCUAGCUUCUGGGAGUGGAAAAGGAACUUGCUUUACAUGCCCUUAUCAUUUUUUUGCAGGUCUUUUGUGAUAGUUACUUAUUAUAUGGUGGGUAUCGUGUACCUUUCGCACAUAAAGAUCUUGCAUCAGGUCUUAAGCUUGACUCGUAUUUCACUACAUUUGCAUUAUGGUUGUGCUCUUUCUAACUGUUUCUUGUUUUUGCGUGCCCCAGGAUAAGUAUUGUAUAUGGAUGGACACUAAUGAAGAAUGGUAUUUUGGAGAAUCUCAAAUCGAGAGUUUAGUGAUAGAUUUAAUGUUGGGAUUUAUUAAAAAGAUGUUUUGAUGUUGUAAGCAUUAGUUUGUGUUUCAUUGAGACUUUUAAUUUGUAAUUCGAUACACUUGAACGGGUUGUUUAAUACUAGGUAACUUUUGUCGUGAGCAUGUCUAUUUGUGUGUAAUUGGAAUUAUAUUGGGAAAUAUUACUGAAAAUUCUGGAAUUUUGCAAAAAUAUUAAAAAUUUAGGUUUUUUUCUUGUCUUAUUUUUUGGUGCUAUGGAGAU